GCCAGGACUGAGGGGGGAUCUCAUUGAAAGGCCGAGAUAGAGUGGAUGUGGAGAGGAGGUUUCGAAUAGUAGGAGAGGCUAGGACCAGAGGCAUGGCCUCAGCACAGAAGGUUGUCCCUUGAGAACAGAAAUGAGAAGGAAUUUCUUUAGCCAGAGGAUGGUGAAUCUGUGGAAUUCAUUACCACAUAUGACUGUAGAGGACAAGUCACUGGGUAUAUUUAAAGCAGUGGUUGAUAGGUUCUUGAUAGGUCAGAAUGUCAAAGGUUAUGGAAAGAAGGCAGGAGAAUGGGGUUGAGAGGGAAAAUAAAUCAUUCACGAUCAAAUGGGGGAGAAAACUCGAUGGGCCAAAAGCUCUAAUUCUCCUCCGAUAUCAUUGUUUUAUAAUUUUCUACACAAAGAAAAAGCUGGAAUGUCAUUUAAAUUCAUCUCUGGUUCUGAUCCAGCUACUCUACAUUCUUUAACCUUUCACUAAUCUACCUUUCAAUCCCCAGGCACAAGCACAAAAGAGGCCAGAGGUUUUAAACUUACCUGCUGACUACUUCGUCUAAGACUCAGGACACCAGUUACUGAGCCUCCGAUAACCACAGCCGCAGCCAGCAAAACCAAAGCUCCCCACAGAAUACGCAGUGCAGACCUGGUUUCAGCUCCCAGGUGGUCACCCCGUUCCUAUAACGUAGAUAGUGGAAGGGGAAGAGUUCGAUAGGGGUAACCAGCAUUUAGAGGAUCUGGUGGAUGCACAGAAUUUCUGAAAGACAUUUGAUUAGAUGCCACCUAAAACAUUAUGCAUGGCCACGAACCUAUCAAUCACCCCUGCUUGUGGACCAUUUUCUGGAGGUCUAAGAUGCCGACUUCUACAAAGAAGGGAUUCAUAUGCUCCACAACCGCUGGACUAAGUGUGUAAAUGUAGGAGGGGACUAUGUUAAA